rnacentral:misc_RNA from 1 species
GAUGAAGAACGCAGCGAAAUGCGAUAAGUAAUGUGAAUUGCAGAAUUCAGUGAAUCAUCGAAUCUUUGAACGCACAUUGCGCCCCCUGGUAUUCCGGGGGGCAUGCCUGUUCGAGCGUCAUUUCACCACUCAAGCCUCGCUUGGUAUUGAGCAACGCGGUCCGCCGCGUGCCUCAAAUCGUCCGGCUGGGUCUUCUGUCCCCUAAGCGUUGUGGAAACUAUUCGCUAAAGGGUGUUCGGGAGGCUACGCCGUAAAACAACCCCAUUUCUAAGGUUGACCUCGGAUCAGGUAGGGAUACCCGCUGAACUUAAGCAUAUCAAUAAGCGGAGGA